GACGAACGCUGGCGGCGUGCCUAAUACAUGCAAGUAGAACGCUGAAGGAGGAGCUUGCUUCUCUGGAUGAGUUGCGAACGGGUGAGUAACGCGUAGGUAACCUGCCUGGUAGCGGGGGAUAACUAUUGGAAACGAUAGCUAAUACCGCAUAAGAGUUGAUGUUGCAUGACAUUUGCUUAAAAGGUGCAAUUGCAUCACUACCAGAUGGACCUGCGUUGUAUUAGCUAGUUGGUGAGGUAACGGCUCACCAAGGCAACGAUACAUAGCCGACCUGAGAGGGUGAUCGGCCACACUGGGACUGAGACACGGCCCAGACUCCUACGGGAGGCAGCAGUAGGGAAUCUUCGGCAAUGGACGGAAGUCUGACCGAGCAACGCCGCGUGAGUGAAGAAGGUUGUCGGAUCGUAAAGCUCUGUUGUAAGAGAAGAACGAGUGUGAGAGUGGAAAGUUCACACUGUGACGGUAUCUUACCAGAAAGGGACGGCUAACUACGUG
rnacentral:rRNA from 1 species